rnacentral:rRNA from 1 species
UACAGAGGGGGCAAGCGUUAUUCGGAAUUAUUGGGCGUAAAGGGCGCGUAGGCGGCUUGGCAAGUGGAUGGUGAAAUCCCUCGGCUUAACCGAGGAACUGCCAUCCAGACUGCUUUGCUUGAGGCCGGGAGAGGUAAGUGGAAUUCCCAGUGUAGCGGUAAAAAUGCGUAGAUAUUGGGAGGAACACCAGUGGCGAAGGCGGCUUACUGGACCGGUUCUGACGCUGAGGCGCGAAAGCGUGGGGAGCAAACGGG